rnacentral:rRNA from 1 species
GAUGAACGCUGGCGGCGUGCCUAAUACAUGCAAGUCGAGCGAACGGACGAGAAGCUUGCUUUUCUGAUGUUAGCGGCGGACGGGUGAGUAACACGUGGAUAACCUACCUAUAAGACUGGGAUAACUUCGGGAAACCGGAGCUAAUACCGGAUAAUAUUUUGAACCGCAUGGUUCAAAAGUGAAAGACGGUCUUGCUGUCACUUAUAGAUGGAUCCGCGCUGCAUUAGCUAGUUGGUAAGGUAACGGCUUACCAAGGCAACGAUGCAUAGCCGACCUGAGAGGGUGAUCGGCCACACUGGAACUGAGACACGGUCCAGACUCCUACGGGAGGCAGCAGUAGGGAAUCUUCCGCAAUGGGCGAAAGCCUGACGGAGCAACGCCGCGUGAGUGAUGAAGGUCUUCGGAUCGUAAAACUCUGUUAUUAGGGAAGAACAUAUGUGUAAGUAACUGUGCACAUCUUGACGGUACCUAAUCAGAAAGCCACGGCUAACUACGUGCCAGCAGCCGCGGUAAUACGUAGGUGGCAAGCGUUAUCCGGAAUUAUUGGGCGUAAAGCGCGCGCAGGCGGUUUUUUAAGUCUGAUGUGAAAGCCCACGGCUCAACCGUGGAGGGUCAUUGGAAACUGGAAAACUUGAGUGCAGAAGAGGAAAGUGGAAUUCCAUGUGUAGCGGUGAAAUGCGCAGAGAUAUGGAGGAACACCAGUGGCGAAGGCGACUUUCUGGUCUGUAACUGACGCUGAUGUGCGAAAGCGUGGGGAUCAAACAGGAUUAGAUACCCUGGUAGUCCACGCCGUAAACGAUGAGUGCUAAGUGUUAGGGGGUUUCCGCCCCUUAGUGCUGCAGCUAACGCAUUAAGCACUCCGCCUGGGGAGUACGACCGCAAGGUUGAAACUCAAAGGAAUUGACGGGGACCCGCACAAGCGGUGGAGCAUGUGGUUUAAUUCGAAGCAACGCGAAGAACCUUACCAAAUCUUGACAUCCUUUGACAACUCUAGAGAUAGAGCCUUCCCCUUCGGGGGACAAAGUGACAGGUGGUGCAUGGUUGUCGUCAGCUCGUGUCGUGAGAUGUUGGGUUAAGUCCCGCAACGAGCGCAACCCUUAAGCUUAGUUGCCAUCAUUAAGUUGGGCACUCUAAGUUGACUGCCGGUGACAAACCGGAGGAAGGUGGGGAUGACGUCAAAUCAUCAUGCCCCUUAUGAUUUGGGCUACACACGUGCUACAAUGGACAAUACAAAGGGCAGCGAAACCGCGAGGUCAAGCAAAUCCCAUAAAGUUGUUCUCAGUUCGGAUUGUAGUCUGCAACUCGACUACAUGAAGCUGGAAUCGCUAGUAAUUGUAGAUCAGCAUGCUGCGGUGAAUACGUUCCCGGGUCU